AGCAGCCGCGGUAAUUCCAGCUCCAAUAGCGUAUAUUAAAGUUGUUGCGGUUAAAAAGCUCGUAGUUGAAUUUCGGGGUCAGUAGGUUGGUCAUGCCACAGGUAUGUACUGGUCUCACUGAUUCCUCCUUCCUGAUGAACUGUAAUGCCAUUAAUUUGGUGUCAUGGGGAAUCAGGACUGUUACUUUGAAAAAAUUAGAGUGUUUAAAGCAGGCUAACGCCUGAAUACAUUAGCAUGGAAUAAUGAAAUAGGACGUUCGAUCCUAUUUUGUUGGUUUCUAGGAUUGACGUAAUGAUUAAUAGGGAUAGUUGGGGGCAUUAGUAUUCAAUUGUCAGAGGUGAAAUUCUUGGAUUUAUUGAAGACUAACUACUGCGAAAGCAUUUGCCAAGGAUGUUUUCAUUAAUCAAGAACGAAAGUUAGGGGAUCGAAGACGAUCAGAUACCGUCGUAGUCUUAACCAUAAACUAUGCCGACUAGGAAUCGGGCGAUGUUAUUCUCAUGACUCGCCCGGCGCCUUAUGGGAAACCAAAGUGUUU
rnacentral:rRNA from 1 species